UGGCCUCAGGUUUGCUGGCA
rnacentral:piRNA from 1 species